rnacentral:rRNA from 1 species
GGGUAGUUUGACUGGGGCGGUCUCCUCCUAAAGAGUAACGGAGGAGCACGAAGGUUGGCUAAUCCUGGUCGGACAUCAGGAGGUUAGUGCAAUGGCAUAAGCCAGCUUGACUGCGAGCGUGACGGCGCGAGCAGGUGCGAAAGCAGGUCAUAGUGAUCCGGUGGUUCUGAAUGGAAGGGCCAUCGCUCAACGGAUAAAAGGUACUCCGGGGAUAACAGGCUGAUACCGCCCAAGAGUUCAUAUCGACGGCGGUGUUUGGCACCUCGAUGUCGGCUCAUCACAUCCUGGGGCUGAAGUAGGUCCCAAGGGUAUGGCUGUUCGCCAUUUAAAGUGGUACGCGAGCUGGGUUUAGAACGUCGUGAGACAGUUCGGUCCCUAUCUGCCGUGGGCGCUGGAGAAUUGAGGGGGGCUGCUCCUAGUACGAGAGGACCGGAGUGGACGCAUCACUGGUGUUCGGGUUGUCAUGCCAAUGGCAUUGCCCGGUAGCUACAUGCGGAAGAGAUAAGUGCUGAAAGCAUCUAAGCACGAAACUUGC